rnacentral:rRNA from 1 species
CAAUAGCGUAUAUUAAAGUUGUUGCAGUUAAAAAGCUCGUAGUUGGAUUUCGGGGCAGCCUGUCUGGUCCGUCGCAAGACGUGUACUGGUCAGCUGCCCUUCCUCUCGAAAGCCCCGACUGCUCUUAACUGCAGUGGUCGGGUAGUUCGGGACGUUUACUUUGAAAAAUUAGAGUGUUCAAGGCAGGCUUUCGCCUGAAUACAUUAGCAUGGAAUAAUGGAAGAGGACCUCGGUCCUAUUUUGUUGGUUUCUGGGGCCGAAGUAAUGAUUAAGAGGGACAGUUGGGGGCGAUUAGUAUUUAAUUGUCAGAGGUGGAAUUCUCAGAUUUG